rnacentral:rRNA from 1 species
GAGCGGUAACAGGCGUAGCAAUACGUGCUGACGAGCGGCGAACGGGUGAGUAACGCUUCGGAAUCUGCCCAAUGGUGGGGAAUAACCAGCCGAAAGGUUGGCUAAUACCGCAUGAGCCCUACGGGGGAAAGCGGGGGAUCGCAAGACCUCGCGCCGAUGGAUGAGCCGAAGCCGGAUUAGCUAGUUGGUAGGGUAACGGCCUACCAAGGCGACGAUCCGUAGCUGGUCUGAGAGGACGACCAGCCACACUGGGACUGAGACACGGCCCAGACUCCUACGGGAGGCAGCAGUGGGGAAUUUUGCGCAAUGGGGGAAACCCUGACGCAGCAACGCCGCGUGGAGGAUGAAGCCCUUUGGGGCGUAAACUCCUUUC